rnacentral:rRNA from 1 species
UACGUAGGGUGCAAGCGUUGUCCGGAAUUAUUGGGCGUAAAGAGCUCGUAGGCGGUUAGUCGCGUCUGCUGUGAAAACUCGGGGCUUAACUCCGGGCCUGCAGUGGGUACGGGCUGGCUAGAGUCCGGAAGAGGAGAGUGGAAUUCCUGGUGUAGCGGUGAAAUGCGCAGAUAUCAGGAAGAACACCCGUGGCGAAGGCGGCUCUCUGGUACGUGACUGACGCUGAGACGCGAAAGCGUGGGGAGCGAACAGG